AUGCAGUUCGCGAUCACCACCGCCGUCUCCGCGAACCCGCAUCUGAAGCCUCUGGUCUCCUUCCCGCGGCCGUCGCCCCCGCACCGGGUCCGAGUCCACCCUCCUUGCCACCGCCUGAACACGAGGGCGAGCGUCAUGGCCUCCUCGGCGCCGCUGGAGCUCACCAUCACGCGCCCCGACGACUGGCACCUCCACCUCCGUGACGGCGACGUGAUGGCCGCGGUGCUCCCCCACAGCGCGAGGCACUUUGAGAGAGCCAUCGUGAUGCCCAACCUGAAGCCACCGGUUACUACAACGGCACGUGCGAUCGCGUACAGAGAUGAGAUCCUCAAGGCGCUGCCUCCCGGGAGCAGCUUCGUGCCGCUCAUGACGCUCUACCUCACGGACAGGACUAGCCCGGAGGAAAUUAAGAUCGCAAGAAAGAGUGGUGUGGUUUUUGCUGUCAAGUUGUAUCCUGCUGGAGCAACUACUAACUCCCAAGAUGGCGUAACUGAUAUUUUGGGGAAAUGCUUGCCUGUCCUUGAAGAGAUGGUCAAGCAGGAAAUGCCUUUACUUGUUCAUGGAGAAGUCACAGAUCCUCAUGUCGACACCUUUGACCGUGAGAAGGUCUUCAUUGAGAAAAUAUUAGCACCACUUGUACAAAAACUUCCACAGCUGAAAAUUGUUAUGGAACAUAUCACUACGAUGGAUGCAGUGAACUUCGUAGAAUCAUGCAAAGAAGGUCAUGUUGCUGCAACAGUGACUCCGCAGCAUCUCCUUCUAAACAGGAAUGCGUUGUUUCAGGGUGGUUUACAGCCUCACAAUUAUUGCUUGCCAGUGCUGAAGAGAGAAACCCACAGGCAAGCUAUUGUUUCUGCUGUAACAAGUGGGAGCAGACAAUACUUUCUUGGCACUGACAGUGCUCCCCAUGAUAAACGGCUGAAGGAGUGUUCCUGUGGAUGUGCAGGAAUAUAUAGUGCUCCUGUUGCUCUUUCUCUUUAUGCGAAGGUAUUUGAAGAGGCCGGUGCUCUUGAUAAGCUAGAGGCGUUUACAAGCUUCAAUGGGCCAGAUUUUUAUGGUCUCCCAAGGAACACAUCAAAGACUGUUCUGAGAAGGAGUCCCUGGAAAGUGCCUGCAACUUAUGCGUACGGUUCAGGAGUGAUUGUGCCUAUGUCCACCGGCAACACUCUGGAAUGGCUUCCGCCCGAUCAGCCCGAAGAAUAA
rnacentral:rRNA from 1 species